CGGGUGCUAACGUCCGUCGUGAAGAGGGAAACAACCCAGACCGCCAGCUAAGGUCCCAAAGUCAUGGUUAAGUGGGAAACGAUGUGGGAAGGCCCAGACAGCCAGGAUGUUGGCUUAGAAGCAGCCAUCAUUUAAAGAAAGCGUAAUAGCUCACUGGUCGAGUCGGCCUGCGCGGAAGAUGUAACGGGGCUAAACCAUGCACCGAAGCUGCGGCAGCGACGCUUAUGCGUUGUUGGGUAGGGGAGCGUUCUGUAAGCCUGCGAAGGUGGCCUGUGAGGGUUGCUGGAGGUAUCAGAAGUGCGAAUGCUGACAUAAGUAACGAUAAAGCGGGUGAAAAGCCCGCUCGCCGGAAGACCAAGGGUUCCUGUCCAACGUUAAUCGGGGCAGGGUGAGUCGACCCCUAAGGCGAGGCCGAAAGGCGUAGUCGAUGGGAAACGGGUUAAUAUUC
rnacentral:rRNA from 1 species